GUAGAGGAGAAAGGGCACAUCAAACACAUGGCCUGCUCAAUUCUGCUUCACUUGACUCAGAUAAGAGGGACAUUUCACCAGAUGACGUCUCAUAAUACCUUAUAAGCACGCUGCUAAUGAGCGUUCAGUGCUCCCACAAUGCAAACAGCCAUGAAGCCACUAAAUGGAGAAUAAAAUGAUGAAGACACAGAUGCACAAGAUCCACAGAAGCAUUUAUCUGAGUGAAAUGGAAAAUUGUGCUGACAGGUGGAUUGUGAAUGCUUUAAUAGUGGCGAGGAUUGGAGCGGGCAGGUCUGGGGAGCGAAAGGUCCCAUGAUACUGGGGCCAAAUUGACAAGCCCGUCUAUGUUGGCUCAGUCUUCAUUUAUAGCAGGAUGAUCCUUGCCAACCCUCAUGUCAGCCAAUUUGCUCUAGGACAGAUGAAUGUGGAGAGGUAUAUGGAGACAAUGUUUUCCCCACAGUCUCUCUGGUAUGUGCUGGCAGAACUGUGACCCCUGCUACAGAAUUGCUAUCUUAUUUACCGCAUUAUUCAAGGAAACGUUUAAUCAGCCGUUUCAAUAUUUGGAAAUUCUGUAUCAAGAGAUCACCAUGAGGUCAUUAUUUCUGACACAACUUGUAUGACGAGAGGUCAUAUACAUUAGGGAACAAUCCUGAAGAAAUUGCAUAAUUCUGCACUCACAUCUGCAUAUGUUCACAAUAAAAAAUGAUAAAAAAAACUGUUAACUUAAAAAAAAAAAACAUUUAAACACUUUUUUUUCACCACUCUUUGAAAAAGUGGACAGGAAACUGGGGUGCUUUAAAACAGCAUGAUCAGAGACUGUGACGGGAAUGUCAUUGAUUGAAUACUGUUUUGUUAAGACAAAAAAGGAUAAACAACACUUGUUCCUUAGCUUUAAUUAACCUCAUCCCCCUGUCAGUUCAUAGAGGUUAACGGUUGAAAAGAUAGGCUUUGCUGGUCACCAGCACAGUGUAUGUUUUGGUUAGGAUACUGGUUUCCAUUUUCCAGCAGAUGCAGGUUUGCUAGUGUCCCCACCAGGCUUUUUAACUAGCUUGGACUAGCAAUGCAAACUGAUAGACUAGCAACGUUUUGUUGUCUAAAACUUGAAUGACUUUCUUUCUUCCGGUGAAACACAAUCUGAGAUAUUUUAAUAAAGAUUUGAUGUCUUUUUUGAAAGGGACAUAAAGACAUAAAGGAAGCAUAAAGGUGAUCCAUACAACUCCAGGUCUUUUGAAGCGAUCCAGUCAGUUUUGGGUGAGAACAGACCAAAAUCCUUUUUCACUGUACAUCUUGCCAUUGCAGUAUCUAGGCACAAUCAUGACUUAAAGCCUGAUUACACUUCCUUUUGCUUGAUGCAUGCAGAAGAAUAAUCAAGCUUGAAAUAAUGAUCACCAAGGAGACUGCUGAUGUCAAGAUGUAGGGGAGAGCGGGGCACAAACUAACAUUGGGCUAGUUGUAACUAGUAAUAAAAACAUUUUUUGGAAGGUAUCGGCAGAUGUUCAUUUGACAGUAGUGAACAUAAAAAUUCUCACAACAGAAUAUUUUUCAUCUCUGUUUUUAGUCUUUAUUUAAAACAAGGCAAACUUGGUAUCAUUUUAAUCCCCAGUCUCUUAGCUAGCAUCUUGCAUAGUCUUUUAAUUCUUAGCUUUUGGAUGACAUGUUAGACCGAGGUCCUGACUGUCUGUGGUCAUUAAAAAUCCCAGGACACUUCUCGUAAAGAGUAGGGGUGUAACCCCGGUGUCCUGGCCAAUUUUCCCCCAUAGGCCCUUCUCAAUCAUGGCCUCCUAAUAAUCCCCAUCCAUUAAUUGGCUGUAUCACUCUACUCCCUCCUCUCCACCAAUAGCUGGUGUGUGGUGAGCGUACUGGCGCACUAUGGCUGCCGUCGCAUCAUCCAGGUGGAUGCUGCACACUGGUGGUGGUUGAGGAGAGUCCCCCUAUACUAUGUAAAGCACUUUGAGAGCCUAGAAAAGCACUAUAUAAAAGGAAUUAUUAUUAUUAUUAGCUAGCCAGCAGAAGUGACCAGCCAGGAUUAAAUCCCAGUUGCACUGAUGGGGCAUGUUAUAACACUGCGUUAAAAUGUGCCCCAAAUAGAACAAACUAUAAUUGAUUCCAUGCUGUCAGAUAUGUAAUUUACAUAAUUCCCCUUUGCGUGUGUGUCAUCAAUCCAUGCAUUUUUUUAGUCAAAACUUUGUUCUGUAUUUAUUGUCAAGAGUCAAAAUGAUUGCUAUAUUAUUGUGAUGAAGUUAAUAAAUGGCUUUUAUUAACAAUGUUUUAGUUUAUCUAUUUUAAGUACAUCAGAACCUUUUAGGAAAUACAACGGCCCGCGGGCGGGCCGGCGCAUGUUAAGUACUAAACUAUGCGAUGUACACAACUGCUGUGUGUACGUUGGUACACAUGCCACAUAUCUUUGGAAAGCUAAGAUUCUUGUGAUUCUAUUGAUGUAAACCAUUUCAAGAUACAAUUACAACAGCAGGUACAAUCAACGUCUUUGUCAGACCACCAACAUAUAAACAAACAAUAACAAAAUUGAGGCAACUCAUAUAUGAAGCCUCAUAGUAGUCCACUGAUACAUAACAUCCUGACAAAAAUGGUCUUGUUACUUUGGCCAUGGUCCAAACGAUCCAGUCAAGUAAAAUAUUUAGUCCAAAACACAUUAUUACAUCAAUAAAUACCCACAGAUUCUUGCUGCAUCAUUUCUAAGUAUCCGGCAGAUGUGCCUAAUCUUUCACGAAUUCUCCGUCAUAACUUCAGUUCACAUGUAAACAUUUCUGAUAUCUUGGUAUUAAAAUGGUUGCUGCACUCUGACCUUUUGACUGACACCUCAUUCGACUGGCACCCAAUAGGAGCUUCCAUGUCCUGUCCAUAGCCUUCAAUAGCCAAUGAGAGUCCGCAUCACAAGGAAGUGCCUGCCCCUUUUCCUUGGUGUAAAGAUCAAGCCAGUUGCAACCGAUAGUGUGGAUGACUGGCACAUCGUAUAGCCAAUGAAAUUCUGAAAACAAUGAUAUGCAGCUUUUGUAGGAAGUUUCAAAGCUACAGCUAAGAAGUCUGUGCGUAUGGCUAGAUAACCAUUGCCAAGUGUUUUGUGCAUCCGUGCGCAAAAGGUGAAAAGUGUAGUUUUGUGACUGUUGACGCUUCUGGAAGGUGAAUUAUGGCGAAACGGGCGAGGAAAACAAACUAUUCGCUCCAAGAUGUGCUGGAAGAAUGUACUUGGUGUGAAAGCGAUGAUCUGGGGAUGAAGUUUCAGAAGUAAAUAGUGAUGAAUCAUAUAUUGACUCCGAGGCAGAUGCAAUGUUUCUGGAGGGAGGAGAUAUUACUCUUGACAAGUAAGUAUUUUCUUAUAUAACAUAUAUUACUGUAUAUUCUGCAUAAAUAAGCUUUAGUUUGAAUUAUGAAUACACAUUUUGUAGAUUACCUUUUGUCGUGUGUUUCCCCAGUGAGUCUGUUGAACUGUUUGCGGGAGGUGUUUGUAUUUAUUUCUGUGUGUGUGAAGUUUUAUUACCCCUUUGUUUCACUGUUUGUUUCAGAUUCAUAUAGCUCUAUUGAAAUGGUAUAAAUAUUUGUUUACAUUGCCAAAGCAUACAGUAUUUACAGUAAAUAUACAUACAUGCAUACAUAUUUAUACACACAAAAAGAAAAACUAUAUAUAUAAAUUGAAUAUAAGAAUAUAAGUUGUAUUUGUGUGUGUCUUGAGGUGUUACUGCUGACCUAUGGGGGAGGUGUGUGUGACUCUUUGUUUCAUUGUGUGAACUGCAGAGAUGAGAGGUGCAGAUCAGCACUGGGCAUUGAAGGACAUCCCAGUUCCACCAGCGGUAAAGGAGUACAACCAGUAUGUACUAUAUAUUCAACUAUGUUUUAUGCUCUUUGAAAUGUAAUAAUAUAUGUGGUUGAUAUAUUUGUGUUUUGGUAUAUUUUUUCAAUGUUGUUUUCUAUUUGUCCAUCCUGGUGCAUGGGUGGAGUGGACCUUUCUGACUCCCUGAUAGGGUACUAUAAAGUCAUCCACAAGACCCAGAAGUGGUACAAGACAUUCUUUUAUUAUUUCAUGGAGAUGGCAAUUGUGAAUGCCUUCCUCCUCCACAAAGACAUUGCAAAAGGUAAAGGAGAGGUCCCUAUGAACCAGAAGGCAUUCAGAGAGACCCUUGCUGAGGAGCUGGCAGAGUUGGGGUCUCACUCCACAGCCAGACCCGUAUCUCCUGCUCCACGCAGAGCACAUCACAGGACUCAGCACCGCUGGUCAACUGAAGUACAGGCAGUGCCAUGCAAAGACACCCAGUGAAGUGCUCCUUCCAUGAUGUGCUUUUGUGCUUUGUCCCCAAACUUGACUGCUACAAUGACUGGCAUGUUGCCAAAAACCUGUAAAAGGUAUAAUUGUAUGUAAAUAUGUUGUGUAAAAAAGUAUGUAAAUAGUUUGUUUAUUUCUUACAUACACUGCUUUUCCACCAUAGCACUUGUUUUGACUCUUUAUAUGCACAAAGUUUAGUUUUAAGAAGGAAAAAAAAAUCACUCUAAUGUGUUUAUGCUUCAGUUACUCUGUGUCAGCAAUACUAAUAGUGGAUCUGGAUAUGGAAUAUGAUAGCUCUAAGUGUCACCUUUCAUUAGAGCCCAAAUUUAUGACUGUAUGUUAAAGUGUUCCAAAGUAGUAGCCUUUUUAUCCUAGGUAUGUGGCCAUGGUUACCAAGGGUCCUUUGGAGUAUCCAAAAGGCACUUUUGGAAAUGCCUGGACAUACCCUUGUGUAAAAUAUUCAUUUUCUGUAGUAUUGUUAUAAAAUUUGAACUUGGACUAGGUAAGGCUUCAUGCUGUGGUCCCAUUGUGUUUUCCAGCUAAUAGUUCCCAGUUAUAGUCGUCUGCAGGCAUCUGUAUGCAAAAAAAUAAAAAAAUUCAGGUGGAAAUUUUUUUUAUUUUAUAUUUCAGUGUGUUCAAACUUCUAUUACUCAAAACCAGUAGCACUUACAGUGAUUCUGACUGCUGGGGAAAAAAACAUCAGAGUGCCACCUUUCAAAAGAGACCUAAACCAUGCAUGUACUCCAAAUUGUUCAAGAACAGCUUUAAAUUUACUUUGGGUAUGCCUUGAAUAGGCGUUUUAGGCUAGUUUUAGAGGGGGAUUUUACGCUGUCAUAUGGUCAUGUUACAAUGAACCCCUCACCUGUUACAAUGUGACCAGUCUGUGGGGCAUGUUGUAACAUAUCAUUUUCAUUCUUUCCAGGUAGAUAGGGAAAAAAAGUAUACGCUCUUCAUGAAACAAGACCACAUAUUUGUACCAGACAUGUGUAAAAUUAAAGUGAAGAAAGAAAAAUACUUUGAACCUCAAUUACAUUUACAUAAACUUAAGAAAACCAAAAAGUGUUAGUUUGUGCCAAGCUCUCCCCUACAGUGAAAAAGGAGUUAAACUUUGGUCUGUUCUCACCCAAAAUUGAUUGGAUCGCUUCAGAAGACGGAUUAAA